AUGGGGAACAAAGGGCAGGGGAAGGGUUGGCAGCAGGUGCCACAGCCCUCCUCCUUCCCUCCUGUCCUCCCUCCCUCUCAUGGAUGCUGUCCAGGGCUGUGCCCUGUUUUGUGCCCCCCUCUGGGGCAGCCUGGAGCGUUGUGGCAGUGCAGAAGGCAGUGCUGCCCACAGCCCUGUGCUGGCUGUGUGCUGCCUGCGCUCCACAGCUGGCUCCUGCCCAGCACAAGGAUGGCACAGUGGGAUACCAUGGAGGGUACACUGCUGAUGCCCCUUUGCCUGUCUCCACUGCCUGCCCAGGGGCUCUUGCACAACCCAGCUUCUUCCGUCAGCACUGCUGGGGCUGAGCCCUUAGCUGUCCCACUGCUUUGCUGUGGGGCUCUUCCCCUUUCUGCCUGGCCUGCUGCAGACAACCCCAGCUCUGGGGCCUGCUGGGCCAUGCCAGGGUGCCACAGUGCCGGUGCCCCUGACCGGUCUGGCGUGGGUUGCCUGGGCGGGUGCCGGUGCUGGUGGUGGGGUGUGGGGCGAGCUCUCUGGGCUGCUAAUUGCUGUUUAGCUGGGGACACCGAGGGUGUAAUUAUGGGGGCAUUGCAUGAAUGUGCAGCCUGGCCUGGGGAGCCCACGAGUGCCCCUGCCCAGGGAGCGCAGGGGGUCAGGCAGCAUAGCCCAGCUGGGCCGUCACUGCUCCCCACAUUCCCCAUGGGGAUCUCGGGAGCCUGCUCCAAGGGGAGAGCAGGACAGGAAUCCAUAGGGCCGGGGGGUGGCUCCAGGGCUGGCCGGGCAGGCUGCAGCAUGCUGUACCCAGCCCUGCCCUGCUGCCGCCGAGCACAGGCGCCCUGGCAGCCCGGCUGGGCUGGCCAUGGCCAGUGGCGAGCACCCAGCGCCCUGCCUUGGGGCACACGAGGAGGUGAGGAGGGCCUGGCUGAUGUGCCACGGCACGGGGGGGCAGGGGCAGACGGCAUGGAGACCUUGUUAGAGGUGGGGAAGGCGUGUUUAAGGUACAAGUGCCUGUCCUGGCAGCGCUGGGGAUUUUCUCCCGUGGGAGUGGGCCGGGGAUGCCCCCUGCCCCGUUCCGGAUUGGCGCCCCACGGCGCAGCAGCGCCGGCCGCAAAGAGUUAA
rnacentral:lncRNA from 1 species